UACGGAGGGAGCUAGCGUUGUUCGGAAAUACUGGGCGUAAAGCGAACGUAGGCGGCUUUUCAAGUCAGGGGUGAAAUCCCGGAGCUCAACUCCGGAACUGCCCUUGAAACUGGAUCGCUAGAAUCCUGGAGAGGCGAGUGGAAUUCCGAGUGUAGAGGUGAAAUUCGUAGAUAUUCGGAAGAACACCAGUGGCGAAGGCGGCUCGCUGGACAGGUAUUGACGCUGAGGUUCGAAAGCGUGGGGAGCAAACAGG
rnacentral:rRNA from 1 species